GAUGAACGCUGGCGGCGUGCCUAAUACAUGCAAGUCGAGCGAACAGAUGAGGAGCUUGCUCCUCUGACGUUAGCGGCGGACGGGUGAGUAACACGUGGAUAACCUACCUAUAAGACUGGGAUAACUUCGGGAAACCGGAGCUAAUACCGGAUAAUAUAUUGAACCGCAUGGUUCAAUAGUGAAAGACGGUUUUGCUGUCACUUAUAGAUGGAUCCGCGCCGCAUUAGCUAGUUGGUAAGGUAACGGCUUACCAAGGCAACGAUGCGUAGCCGACCUGAGAGGGUGAUCGGCCACACUGGAACUGAGACACGGUCCAGACUCCUACGAGAGGCAGCAGUAGGGAAUCUUCCGCAAUGGGCGAAAGCCUGACGGAGCAACGCCGCGUGUGUGAUGAAGGUCUUCGGAUCGUAAAACUCUGUUAUUAGGGAAGAACAAAUGUGUAAGUAACUAUGCACGUCUUGACGGUACCUAAUCAGAAAGCCACGGCUAACUACGUG
rnacentral:rRNA from 1 species